ensembl:lncRNA
AAAACCCGUCAUGAGGCUUCCGAAUGUAACUGCUGAAUCAUUUACAGGCAGUAUCAGCGGAACACAGAGAGCAGCAAACCAAGCAAAGUGACCUUAUAAGUUACUUACAUCUACUUAAGGAUGGAAUAAAAUCGGGUUAUUUAGGUUUUUUAAUCGCAAUAACUAAACAAACCUCAAAACAAAGCAACACACACUCUCAAAUCAACCCGCAGACGGCAAGCCGAGUGGGACAAUCUGCACUUAAAGAAAACGCGAAAGCUGAUCUCUCAGCGGCCGCCGGAGGGAGAGAGGAUAGAGAGGUGAUGUGUCCUGUGUGCUCUGUCAGCCUAACCGGUGCGGUUUUGCGUUUUACUCGGGUAAUAAGGUCAGUUUGGUCGCUCCCGGUUGGAUUACGAGUAGAGAAGGGAGGUUUUGAGUAAAUGUCGCUGAGCGGCGAACGGGCUGAAGUUAUGGAGCUGUGGAAGAGUCACGUGCGGGCCGAGCUGUUUCAGAGGGACUGCUUACAGAAAGACCCUUUCUCUGGACUCUUCACUAAAGCUUGCACAGAAAGUCUCAGAUCUGACCAGUGAUCUGUACCUCAGGGAGGCGGAGCUGCAGUUCUGUCACUCUCAAGUUGCCCGCUACCGUACCGAAGCCGUUCUGCUGGCCAAAGAAGCAUGCUCACUGAAGGAAGACCUGUCAGAUUAUCAGUAUAAACUGGAGUGUCAGUCAAAGGAGUUGGCAGCAUUGCGAUUGGAGCAGAAGAUGCUGAAGGAGGAGCUAGCAGCCACACAGCAAGAAAAAGAGGGGCUGCUUGAGCGCUGGUUGGAGGAGAAGAAAGAGGAGGCAGAGCGCCUUAAUAAGCACAAUGCCACUCAAGAGAGGUGAAUAUCUGCUUUCUGUCUGGAGAUAUUUUAAAUGAUCUUAUCCACUAAAUAUAAUUUGUAAUUAUAA